rnacentral:lncRNA from 1 species
GUACAGAUGUAAACAAUGCUGCAAUUAAAGGCAUAGUUACCGGAUCUGCGAUUCGCUCGCUUCGGGAUUUGGAUUCGAGUUUCGCGAUUCGGUACUUCUUACGAAUCGGGUUCGACGCACCUCUGAUUCACGAAUUAGCGAUUGUUUUUUUUGUGAGAAACCAAAGUGAGUAAAUAAGAACUGUGAAUGCUGCAGCACAAAUAAGUGUUUUUUUAGCGAGCGCAGCACAAAUAAGUAAAAAAAGAAGAAGAGAGAUAUAUAGAUGGUCAUUAGUUGUUGGGCUGGCCCAGCCUUUGCUCGCAUCUGCACCAUCCACCAUCAAACGCUUUGUCUCCUCUCAAAAAAAAUAAAAAUCAUACGCUUCGUCUCUCUGAUCUAACCCCUGACCACAUUGCCGCCUCCCCAGUCCCCAACAGGAGUACUCCCCCAACACUCACAUCCCGAUUCAUGUCCAAGCAAGAUAAAGUGAGUCUGAACUACGAUAAAUCUAAGAGUACUUUAAAAUUGCAACUCAAAAUUCGAGUGACACACCAAGAAACAUAAAAAGGAAUACAUAUCCACGAAAUAUAGCCCAAAGUACCAUGAACGAAUGGACUUUUCGUUCUUGUUUCGAGAUGGGUGGAUCGAAUUUGGAUUUCAGAUUUAUUUGGCAUCGCUAUCAAUUUUGUUUGGGUUUUCUUUUUCUAUGAUUUUUGUAUAGCUUAGCUCUCCACAUUGUAGGUCACAUUUUUUUGGAAUAGUAUUGCGGGUGACUCGUUGGACGCUGAUGCGUUUCUUUCUGGCAUACUUGAAACUUACAACUCAAAAUUCGAUUGGCACACUGAGAUACAGAAAGGGAUAGACCCAUCCAUGAAUUGUAGCCCAAAGUACCAUAAACAGAUGGAUUUUUCCUUCAACACCAAUGCUUUUCUUUCUGGCAGGCUACAUCCAUGGUGACUGGUGAGAGCCAUGAUGCUGCCAUGUGGGUGACAGUGAGAUUCCUGCAGCAGCAAUGAUUCCUCGUUGGUGCCUGUCCCGAAGCUUGACUCACGAGUCAACACUCUUGUGGGAUUGGUGCAGUUCCGUUACUAACAGUGAUGAUGUUGAGAAAGGGCAAAUAAACGACAGUCAUACUGUCAGUGCACAACCAAGCCAAGGCAACUAAAGCGGUGGCUGUACACCCCCCACCCCCACCUUCCUAGCCACACGUUUGCUCCUCCCUUUCUCGCUCUUUCUUAUUAAUCAUUGUUCUUUCUUAUUAAUCAUUGUUUUUUAAAAUAAAAGUGGACACGUGUGUGGACAACACGGUGGGUGUAGAUAGGUAGGGGGUACCAGGAGGUUUGGCCCAAGCCAACAGAACAAAGUCAGUCAAGUCAUACUUUUAGCACUGCAAUAACGCAAUACCUUUCUUCAUGUUGACUGCUACUUUCUCUGUUCCAAUAUAUAAGUUGUAUUGACCAAGAAUUACUUACUCCACAAAUUUGUGACUUAUGUCAUGCAAAUCCAUAAGUAAGUAGUACUGCAAUAAUGCAAGACCUUCCUUCAUUUUAAUUGCUACUAGCAUCCAAGAGUUUAGCAAUUCCUGUCCUUCAUUUGAACUUUGUCUGUGUUAUAUUAGGAGUGUAAUAAACACCACACCAGAUGAGGCUUACACUGCAGACCCUCUACUUUACACUGUUUCUCUGCUUUGUCCUCUUUAGUCUACACUGCAAUAAUGCAAUGUCUCUUCCCCACACCACACAUGCUUGCAAGAAGAGGAGACUUCAUCAACGAGUGCUAAGGAUUUCUCUGCUCUUUCUUGCUUUUCUUUUUCUCCAGUGCGUGAUUUGCUGCUUCUGGAUGUGGUAAGCUCAUACCGCAAGAAUCGUUGAUUUGGGUACCUCUUUUUCUUCUUCUUCUUCAGUUUCCUCAUGCACUGCCCAUUUGCUUCCAGUGAUGCCGGUCAAAGAAGUUUGCACAGGAUAAGAACUUGUGUUCAAUUCUGUUCUGCUUGACGGAUCCUGUCCAGGAACUGAGAGAAAACCGCCAUGCCAUCCUAGUAAAGAAUAGUACUUCCCUCAGUAAGGACUCUGCGAGAGAAGGAUGCUUCAUUGGGAUUUUGCAACUAGAAGUUUCUCCAACCCUUGCCAUCUCGUGAAGCUCAACAUGAGGCAGAAAUCCAUUUCUGCAAGUCACGGCCCAGAGUCUUACUGAACAAAACUUUGGCUGGUUUUACAUGGUCUCCUUGCGGGAUCUUGAGGUGAAUACUGGAUUAGAUUGAACGUGGCAACGCCACUUGAUUAGAUAUACUGGUGUCAAUGAACUGUCAGCAGGUUUUUUCUCUCACAAGUACCAACCCGACUGUACCGAGCAUUAGUAGACAGUUUUAUUUAGGUUCCCGUUUCCCAGCCACUAUUUCUCUGCUCUUGCUUUGCUAGGGUGUAUUACUUGCUGCUGUUUGCUCUGGUAAGCUCCAUGCCACACUAGCACCAGGAGAUCAAGAGAUAGUUGCAAUUUCUUUCCUUCUAUUCUAUUAAGUUGGUGAACUUAUCUCUGCUUUCCCUGCAGCAUCGAUAUAUUGUGUUCAUUUCUGUUGACUGGCUGGGAGAACUUGUCGUGCAGAGUGUUGCGGCAGGAAACAGUUGGUAUUAACACAUAUCACCCUCCUUCUGCAGGCUGCUGUACUCGUCAGUUGACCCGUAUCCAGGUAUGUUUUCUCAAUGGUCUGUGUCUCUAAUUCAGGCUGCAGUACCCGUAGGAUUUUUCUAAGUGUGUGCAACUAGACUAGAUGAUUAGCAAAGACAAAUCUCAAGCAUUUACAUGACCAGGUUUCACAUUUGCUGAUGGAAACUUGAUGAUACCUGCAUUCUAGUCCCAUUGAUCAUCAUUCAUCAACGCGGACCCAGCUGAAGUUUCAUGAUCGGUGCACUUGGCUGUGCCUCAGCUUUACUCAAGAGUCAACAAUCUUGUGAAUGAUGAUCUUUUUCCCUUUGUAGGAUGCUCUUAAAAUGAAUCCUAUCUACUUGGCGGGGGGGGGGGGGGGGGGCACAUGACCGAGACCGGGUUCUCCGUUCCACGUCUGUCACCACGGUGGCAGAUCAAGUUCUCGGCGGUGAUCUCCUCUUCUCGCCUGAGGAUACUCGACGGGAUUCUCGAGUAUCAUGCCGGUGCGGGGCAGCUUCUCUUGCGGGAUUCGGUCGGUCGGAUUGUGCGGACUGGAGGGUUCUCAUACGACGGUGGCACUGUGUCGUUUCCAUUUCAUGUGGUACACGGGACAGGAAAACCGGUGCUGGUGGCGGAUUCCUCCGCGUCAUGUGGUGCUAAUGGUUCCACGUCGACGGGAUCACGGGUGCGGGCGCCAGAGGUGCGGGUCAUCGGGGUGAUCCCUACACGCUCGGAUGAACCGGGUUUGCUUGGGCCGCCUCCGGGGAAGCCGGUUCGACACGUGGACACCACAUCCACCAACUCUCGCGGCAUCAAUGGUGGAUCGAUUCCUGGCACAAGGGUCCCACGAGGUGGCAUGGGCAUUGAUAACACCCCUUCCGAUCUUGGUGAGUUCGAUCUAGACUCACUCUAUGCUCACUUUUGGUCUGGAUCUAGGGUUUCCACUACUUCUUCCCCUCUUCGCUCGCGGGGCGAGUCCUUCGGGUGGUGGCCGGGCAAGGUCGCCGGGGACACACGUUCCUUUGCGCAGGUGGUUUCCUCGCCGCUUGAUUCGAUGGAGGAUCAGGGAACGCACUUUAACCGAGGCCAUCGUUUAGAUGGUUUCGGAGCGGAGCGACGAGGUCGGGGUGCGGGAAGGCAAGAUCGGGGACGAGGCCAUCCCAAUGUGUGGCGAAGCAACUCCUUGGAUCCCGUUCAGUCCUCCUCCAACACAGGUGAAUCGGCUCCGGCGAACCGUUGGGAGGAGGCGGCGGCGGCACAAGACAACCGGGCGGGGGCUCCGCAAGAUCGAUGGGCACUGGCGGCUCAGGGGGUGCAGUUGUCGCACUCUAAACAAGGGGCACGGAUGGCAGAUAAACUCGGUAAUAUCGAUUCUUGUCUUCACUGCGGUUCUUCUGCUCAUGCUUCUGGUCGUUGUCCUUUGGUGGUUUGUGAACGUUGUGGUAAAACUGGUCAUCUUCAAGCUGCUUGUCGUGCUGUCUUUCCCUGGGAGCAUGUGGCUCAGAUGUGUGCUUUUCGAUCGUCCUAGUAGUGUGGUUAUCACUUUGAUUGAGGGGAUUGCUUCUUGCAAGGAUAUUGAGAUGGAGUUUACUAAUUUCUUUGCAUCUGGUUGGCGUUGUACUGCACGGCCGAUUGGUCCUGACAAGUAUGUCAUGCGUUUCCCCUCUGCUAGAGAGGUCGAGAAAGCUUGCUACCAGGACCGAUUUCGGAUGCAUGGUUGUGCUGCUACUUUGCGUUUAUCUCCUUGGACUGCCUCUGUGGGAGCGGAAGCUGAAUUGAAUGUUGGUUGGGUUCGAGUUGCUAAUAUUCCUUUGGAUAAAAGAUCUGAGAAAAAUGCUUCGUUUGCUGCUUCACUGGUUGGUGUUCCCUUGGAAAUUGAUUUGUCCACGUUACAUAAACCAGAGUAUGUGCGUGUUCUGCUUGGCUGUAGAGAUAUUUCUAAACUUCCUGCUGUGGCAGAAGGUUGCCUGGGAAGACACUUCUAUGAUUUCUUUUAUGAGGUGGAUUCUGGUAAAGCUGUUGUGGUUGAUGAGACUGAUACUUCAGCUCUCCCAUCACCUUCUAAACGUCCUUGUACGACUGAGUAUCCUAAAACUACUGACAAGAAUCCUACAUGAAAUCAUGCAUCACACACUUGUAGAAAGAGAGAUUGGAGUCAUCCUAAAACUGGAUUUUGAAAAGGCACAUGAUAAAGUAAAUUGUGAGUUCUUGCUAUCUUGUCUGCAUUUGAAAGGUUUUAAUGAUAAAUGGUGCAGGUGGACUGAUCAGAUCCUAAAACAUGAUAUUGUUAGUGUGAAGUUGAAUGACAUGAUUGGUCCUUAUUUUCAAAGUGCUAAAGGUGUGAGAGAGGGUGACCCCCUAUCACAUAUGUUGUUUAACCUGGCAGCUGAAGUUCUCACUAAAAUGGUUUUGAAGGGGCAGAGUAAUAAUCUUUUUGUUGGUCUGGCUUCUGAUCUCAUGGAUAAGGGUUUGGCCAUUAUGCAGUAUGCAGAUGAUACUGUUAUAUGUUUGCAGCAUGAUUUGAAGAAAGCUGUUAACAUGAAGUUGUUAACAUGAAGUUGUUACUUUAUGUGUUUGAAUUAAUGUCUGGCCUGAAAAUCAAUUUUUUGAAAAGUUAAGUUUUUCUUAUUGGGGGUGAUAAUACUAUUGCUUCUCAGUAUGCUGCCUUGUCUGGCUGUCACCCCUAAAAUAUCUUGGGGUUCCUGUGAGUUUUUCCUCCAUUAAAAACAAAGAUUGAGAUUUUUUGGAAACAAAGUUCAUGAAAAGAUUAGAAGCAUGGAAAGGUUGCAGCUUAUCUAUGGGGGGGAGGACAGUGCUUCUCAAUGCAUGUUUGUCUAACCUUCCCUCUUAUCAUAUGUCAAUGUUUCUUUUUAAUAAAACUUUUAUUGAAAAACUGGAUAAGCACAGAAGAAAAUUCCUCUAGCAAGGAAAUGGGGACAAAAAGAAAUAUCAUUUGGUCAAGUGGUCUAGAGUGUAGAUCCAAGAAGAAAGGGGGUUUAGGAGUGAAAGAUCUAAGAAAACAAAAUGUUAGCCUGUUAUGUAAAUGGUGGUGGAAGCUGAAUACUGGUCAAGGUUUGUGGCAAUUUUUGAUCAGGAGAAAAUAUUUACAUAAUAAAACUGUUCCUACUGUCAAGAUGAGACAACUUGAUUCCCCCUGUUGAAAAUCUUUAUUGAAAGUUAGAGAAUUUUAUUUGACUGGAAGAGCUAUAAGGCUGGGAUGUGGUGACUUGAUGAGGAUUUGGGAAGACUGUUGGGAUGGGGAGAAUGGCCCGUUGGCUAAUCAAUUCCCUGAAUUGUUCAGUAUUUGUUUAACCUCUGAUAUUACUAUCAAAGUAUUUAGAGAAGCUGACUCUGUGAUGAGAUUUAGGAGACAACUUAAUCCUAUUCUAGCUAGUCAAUGGCAGGCACCGCGUUCUAAGCUGGAUGCUUUACCUCUAUCUGAUGAUUCUGACUCAGUUGCUUGGUCUUUUGAAAAAUCUGGUCGUUAUACUGUAAAAUCUUUAUACUUCUGGCUUGAAAGGAAUUUGAAUGGUGCUCAUAAUAAAUGGAUUUGGAAAGCUAAAAUUCCCCUAAAGAUUCAGAUCUUUCAAUGGUUGUUGCUCCAAGGAUCUGUUAUUACCAAAAACUGUAUGCAAAAGAAAAAUUGGCAGGGAUCUCCUCUUUGUUCCUUUUGUGGACAAAAUGAAACUGCUCUUCACUUGUUUUUCACUUGUUCUAUUUCUAGAGUGGUUUGGGGGAUAGUUGGAUCUUUGUUUGGUACUUUCAUGAUUCCUAAUUCGUUAUGGCAAUUCUUUGUCUGGAUGCAUGUUUUUCUUCCUGGUGGUGAUUGUUUCUUUGUGGUGGGUUUGGCUGCUGUCACUUGGGCCACCUGGAAUUAUCAGAAUCGUGUAACUUUUGAGAAAUAUAAGCUUCGUUCACCCUUUGAGAUUGUAUUUUCGACAUGUGCGUAUUUGUUAUCAUGGGCAGGUUUACACAAAGGGGGUGAUGAUGUGCUGCUGCAAGAGGGCGCCAGGAAGCUUGUUGCCAAUGCUCAGAUGUUGAUGAGGAACUUCAAUGAAGGCACAUCUGCGACUGAAUCUAUGGUGGUGCCCUAUCUGCCGAUACCUUGAUCUGCUUGGGCUACUGGAAGAGGGCUGCUGGAAGAGGCUUUUGUCAUGUUGAUUCUGCUGUGUUGCACGCUGUAGAUUAUCAUGUUUUGUCUGGCCUUGUAUCUCUAAAACUUGUUGAACUUCUAGCUGGCUGUUCUAAGACUCUCUUUUUUUCAGCUUCUGGACAGCUUCUGGACAGCUUCUAGGUCCAGGAAACCGCUAGCUGAAAAGAAGGCAAAAUUUCUUGAGAGCUUAUUUUUCAACAUGCAGCUUCUCGUGGUGCAAUUGGAGAGCUUCUCCACCCGCAUCUUAUGAAAAUACCACAUGGACACACCGUAUUUACGGCUGAAUUGCCACCGCCUCCCGUCGCGCCGGAAAAAAAAAUGAUUCGCUCGCUCACCCUCGACCUCAGACCCGAUCCUUCUCCACUCGCUCCUGUCCCAGCGCCGCCGCCGCCCCCGCCCCUGCGGCCCUGCCCUCCUCCGACAUCUCUCCCGUGGCCGUUGCCCCUCCCUCCACCGGCCGCCAUCCUUCCCAUCCCCUCCGUCCGCGCCGCCCUCCCCCACUCCCGGAUCUGUCGUCGCCACCCCCACUCCCGGAUCCGCCGCCCUCCCCCAGUCGGGCUCCAAGAUCGCAUCUCCAUGGACGUCCUCUAGUGAAAAUCUGCUACCGGCAUGGAGCUUGCCCUGCUCCUAUCAAGCUCUGCUGCCAACGAGCGUGGCCCUUGCCCUCCUCCCGUGAAGCUCUGCAACUAGCAACCAGAAGGAGGGGGAGCAAGCCUCGACUAGCUCGCCCCUGAUGCCGGCCGCCAUGAGCGAGAUCCAUGCAGUGGCACACGCAUCCUUCCCUGUGCAGCCCCGUACCAAGCCGCCAUCUCCGUCGCCUGAAUCUGUAUGGAUUUGGUGGUGUCUCCCGUCGGCCUCUCAAGACCCCCUUUCGUGCGUGCAAGCAAGAACAAAAAUUGGAUUUUCCUUCUUCUUAAUUCUUGUGUUUACUAGUAGUAUUUGCAAAUCUGGGUUAGCAUUAGCUUGAAAUUUCUCAAGAUCUUGCAACCCCCUAUGCAUGGUUCUUGAUGUUUGCUCAGGACGUCUAGUUCAAUUCUUUGUUGGUUAUGAAAUUGCCGUAGUUUUAAUUUUGCAUGGACUGAUGCAUAUGUAUAAAAUUAGAUGGAUGAACUGAUGUUGUAGAUGCGAACGUGUGGAUAUGUUGGUUCGAGCUGUCAACAAAUACCUACAAAUUUGAGACAGCAGGUUGCAUCUUGAAAAGCUGAAAAAAAGGGAAUAAAAUAACUUCUGAGGCUUCUCGUGGCAGCAGCUUUCCUCGGCUGAAGCUGACUUAUGGAGAAGCUGCAGCCGAAAAGAAGGGGCCUAAACUUUGUUAGGUUAUAGUUUAGGAGCAGGUUUUUGUCCCGUAGUCAGCGUUUCGAUUGCGAGAGCUGGUCAGUGGGUUUUCUGCUCAUGUAGUUUCACCUCUCUUCUGUUCCUCCCCCAACUCCAAUAUUGUCUCUUUGUUUGUGACAACAACUUUGUAUUUCCGUUAUUUUGGAAAUGGAAAGGGAAGAAAUCUCAGGUGGAAAAAAUCUUCCAUUAUCGUAUUUGCAGUGCAGUUGUUUAUCCGUCUUCCUUUUCCUUUUGCCUCGUUUAUCUUCUUUCCUUUUCCUUUUUUUUACUAGCCUUGCUCCCUAGUGGUCUUGUAAGACUCGACCGUCUUGGCCCCUCUUCUAAUGAAAUUUGACAAGUUCGAUAAAAAAAGAUGUGCAGUACAGUGCACAACCAAGCCAAGGCAACAACAGAACAAGCCAGGCAAGUUUUACUUGUGCUAUACAAUACUGUAAGCCAUUACUUCAUUUCGAUUGCUAGUAUCCAAGAGCUUUUCCUUUUUAUCUCCACUGAACUCUGCAUUUGCUAGUACAGAUGUAAACAAUGCUGCAAUUUAAGGCAUAGUUAUCGGAUUCGCGAUUCGCUUGCUUCGGGAUUUGGAUUCGCAUUUCGCCAUUCGGUACUUCCUACGGGAUUUGGAUUCGCAUUUCGCCAUUUGGUACUUCCUACGAAUCGGGUUUGACGCACCUCCGAUUCACAAAUCAGCGAUUGCUUUUUUUUUUGAGAAAUCAAAGUGAGUAAAUAAGAACUGUGAAUGCUGCAGCACAAAUAAGUAAAAAAAGAAGAAGAGAGAGAUAUAGAUGGUCAUUAGUUGUUGGGCUGGCCCAGCCUUUCUCGCAUCUGCACCAUCCACCAUCAAACGCUUCGUCUCUCUGACCUAACCGCUGACCACACCGCCGCAGCCCCAGUCCCCAACAGGAGUACUCCCCCAACCCUCACAUCCCGGUUCAUGUCCAAGCAAGAUAAAGUGAGUCUGAACUAAGAU